UGACGGUCGACCCCGCCAGAAGUCCAGC
rnacentral:sRNA from 1 species